CCGACAAGGGUCAAACGGACGGCAACGGCCCAAUACGUCUCAGUUCGAGAAAACAGCUUCAAGUACAGAAGCGAUGCAAAAUCACAAACUCAAACACAAGUCUAAACGAGGUCUAAAUGAAAAAAUGUGCUGCAAAAAACAACAAAUGCAUCAUCAUCAAACACGAUGCAAAUAGAGAAACGAUCUGCAAACGAAAAACGCUGCAUUACCUGUCACUACAAACGGAGAUGCUCCAAACCUGCAGGGGGCGCUCUCAGCAUAACAGCUCAAUAGAGAGACAGAACAGCUGACUGAAUCACAAUGAUGCAUGAAAAUACAGCGGGAAUGGCUAUGUUUUGCCCUUACUGUGGACAAGAUCUGGGAACAAUUUACAUGUUCUGUGGCUCAUGUGGCUCUAAUGUGCAAUUUUUGGCAGAAUAUGCAGACAACAGAUCAGCAUCAGAUAUCCCCACAAAAGAGGAUCUAAUACAAGGAUAUUUUAAUCACGGCUACAGCAAUGCAGAAAUUUUGGAUUUUUUUGGCUUCAAGACACAAUGUUCAUAUGAGCCUUUGCUCCCUGAAGAGGAAGCUGAAAAGUUUGUCUUUAUCUAGGCAAAAAGACUACUCUCCUCUUGCCACCAUUCGUGCUGCCAUACAGGAAGAGUUAAAGGGUCCAGGUCAACACUAUGGCUACCGUUCAAUGUGGCAGACACUGCGCCUAAAGUACUCUCUGACUGUUAAGAGGGAUGAUGUUAUGGCCCUGAUGAGAGAAUUUGAUCCACAAGGAAUUAAAAACUUUGUGCAAGCAGAAAACUUGUAAAAAGAGUUUACAGUUCUGAUGGACCAAACCAUGUCUGGCAUGUGGAUGGAUAUGAUAAGUUAAAGCCGUAUGGUUUCGGAAACUACUCUCAAACUACUGUGGUUGAGAUAUGGAGCAAGCAACAAUGACCAUGGUGAAUGUUUAAUACUUUGUAAGUUUGAUUCAUUUGAAUUUGAAUUAUAAAUUUCAAUUUGAAUCAUGAGGAAUUAUGUGUAAUUUGAAUUAUGAGGUGUUAGAAUUUGAAUUAAGUGUUUGUGACAGUUUUUUCUUUUUCAGUGUUGACAAAUAAACAAUUUGUUACAAUUUCCCUCUCCGAUAGCUUCAGAAUGUCCCAUUGUAGCCUCAAUUUUUCAAAAGCUUCGCAUGGCGGAGGGGGAGAUGGACACCCCCCGCACCAAUCCCCCCUGCUUGAUCGCUUCGCUCCCCUGCCAUGGUGAGCGCCCUCAUACUAAAUUUUUCUAGAAAAACCCCUGCUAAUUAUAAAGUUAAAAUGUGUUUUAUUAAACCUGUCAUUCAUAAAAGAUGAGAGAAAUGGGAACAAUUGUAUGACCUGCUAUUGUAAUAAACCUUCUGUAUCGAGGAGAUAGUCUCUCCAGAAUGCUAGUACUCUGGUUUCCUCUUGGCGUCUUG